rnacentral:rRNA from 1 species
ANNAGNNNNACUAUANUGNGACNUCUCUGUCNUUCUCCUGCAGGAGAAAACGUGUGAAGGUUUCUGGGCAGGAUUAUCAUUGCUGUUUCCUGUUGCCAAUGCCCCUUGACCACCUUUAGGAAAGAGUGGAUCUUACCCUGGAAAAAACGAUAUGUUCGGAAUUUAUGGGGUUUUUAUAAAAAAGGUUCCCAAAAAAAAAUGUUCAUCCAACCCCCCCCCAAACCGACCAUUCAAAAAAGGGAUUUUAAUUUUCCAUCCCCGAAAUGACUGGGAAAUCUCAUUUACUCCUUACCUAACCCCCGGUGGAAGGGUUACUACAAAAAAUUCAAGUGUCAUCCAGGAUAUAGCGCGUUUGCGCAGAAGCCUUCGGAUUGUUAGCCGUUUCUUUUGGGAGGAAGGGCCUUGACCUACCACCCUGUUGUCCUGACGCCCCCUCUCCAAUCAGCACCGGCUUACCACUGUGCCAGCCCUUCUUGUAAUACCCGAGGGGGGCAAGCGUUAAUCUUACUUCCUGGGCCCAAAAGCGCGCGCAGGCUGCUCCCCUAAGAAGAUGUGAAAUUCCCGAGGUUCCCUUUGGAAACUGCAUUCUCACUGACAAGUUAGAGUUGGCCACAAGGGUGGGGGAAUUCCCUCGUGUACCGGUGAAAUCCGAACAAUAUCGGAAGGAAAACCAUUGGCGAAGAGAGACCCCCUUGGUUUCCCCCUUAAGCCCAAGGUGGGAAAAACUGGGCAGGUCAAAGGGUUUUACUCCCCCUGGAAGUCCGAUCCCUAAAGAAUUGCCACCCCCGUCUUCGGGUCCCUGAGCUCUUAGUGGCUCCUCUCACGUCUUCUUGAGAGCGCGUGGGCGUGUCGGUCCCCGUCUAUAAGACUAAGUNAAUUNCAUAAANG